rnacentral:rRNA from 1 species
UACGGAGGGUGCUAGCGUUGUUCGGAAUCACUGGGCGUAAAGCGCGUGUAGGCGGCCUCCCAAGUCUGAUGUGAAAGCCCGGGGCUCACCCCCGGAAGUGCAUUGGAAACUGUGAGGCUCGAGUCCCGGAGAGGAGAGUGGAAUUCCUGGUGUAGCGGUGAAAUGCGUAGAUAUCAGGAGGAACACCGGUGGCGAAGGCGGCUCUCUGGACGGUGACUGACGCUGAGACGCGAAAGCGUGGGGAGCAAACAGG